rnacentral:rRNA from 1 species
AUUGAACGCUGGCGGCAGGCUUAACACAUGCAAGUCGAGCGAGCGGCGGACGGGUGAGUAAUGUCUGGGAAACUGCCUGAGGGAGGGGGAUAACUACUGGAAACGGUAGCUAAUACCGCAUACCAUCAAAUGUGCCCAGGUGGGAUUAGCCAGUAGGUGGGGUAAUGGCUCACCUAGGCGACGAUCCCUAGCUGGGCUGAGAGGAUGGCCGGCCACACGUGAACUGUGACACGGUCCAGACUCCUACAGGACGCAGCAGUGGGGAAUGUUGCACAAUGGGCGCUAGCCUGAUGCAGCCAUACCGCAUGUGUGAAGAAGGCCUUCGGGUUGUAAAGCACUUUCAGCGAUGAGGCUUUACUCGCAGAAGAAGGACCGACUCACUCCGUGCCAUCAGCCGCGGUAAUUC